UACAGAGGUCUCAAGCGUUGUUCGGAUUCAUUGGGCGUAAAGGGUGCGUAGGCGGCGCGGUAAGUCGGGUGUGAAAUCUCGGAGCUUAACUCCGAAACUGCAUUCGAUACUGCCGUGCUUGAGCACGGUAGAGGCAGAUGGAAUUCUCGGUGUAGCGGUGAAAUGCGUAGAUAUCGAGAGGAACACCUGCGGCGAAGGCGGGUUGCUGGGCUGACACUGACGCUGAUGCGCGAAAGCCAGGGGAGCGAACGGG
rnacentral:rRNA from 1 species